rnacentral:rRNA from 1 species
GAUGAACGCUAGCGAUAGGCUUAACACAUGCCAGUCGAGGGGCAGCAUGGUCUUAGCUUGCUAAGACUGAUGGCGACCGGCGCACGGGUGCGUAACGCGUAUGCAACUUGCCUCACAGAGGGGGAUAACCCGUCGAAAGACGGACUAAUACCGCGUACACUUGGGAUAGGGCAUCCUGACCCAAGGAAAUGAAAUUCGCUGUGAGAUAGGCAUGCGUCCCAUUAGCUAGUUGGUGAGGUAACGGCUCACCAAGGCGACGAUGGGUAGGGGAACUGAGAGGUUGAACCCCCACACUGGUACUGGGACACGGACCAGGCUCCUACGGGAGGCAGCAGUGAGGAAUAGUGGUCAAUGGGCGAGAGCCUGAACCAGCCAAGUCGCGUGAAGGAUGACUGUCUUAUGGAUUGUAAACUUCUUUUAUACGGGAAUAACAAGAGUCACGUGUGGCUCCCUGCAUGUACCGUAUGAAUAAGCAUCGGCUAACUCCGUG